UUUUGACACCGUAUUUCGUAAUGUCGUCAGAGCUUUGUUCUGUGUUUACUCAAAUCCAUAACAUUCAGAGACUGUGAUGUAAUCUCGCGUGGUAAAUUCCGAACAGUAUAAAUGAGCGAUUUGACUUCAAGAAAAGUAGUUACAUGACUAAUGUUACAUCAUAUAUAUAAAGUUUUUGAGGAGUCGCAUAACACUUGACAUUUCACAACCUUAACUUGUGUUUAUCUUACCAAGCACAUCUAUUCAUUGAGGCUAUUAUUAAAUGGUUUUGGGGUCACCCUGUGGAGUCUGACAUAUCUGAUUGCACCUUAGAUAACACAAAUGGAUCCUCUCACACCUUCUCAUGCUUGCAGUGUCCAUUCAGCCACCCUCAGGAGGAAAACCUCAGAAGUCACAUAAAGAAAGUCAACUCCGCUAAGUUUAUGAGAAGUGAGAUUGCAGUCGACCCCUCUUUGCCCAACAGCUGCCAUGUUUGUGGCAAAAGCUACCGCUUCCCAUGCUUAUUAAAAGCCCACCAGCGCACCCACACCGGUGAGCAUCCUUUCCUCUGUCCUGUUUCUGUAUGUGGCCGCAGUUUCUCCCAUUCCCAGGCCCUCCGUCGCCAUAGACUCAUGUGGCGAAGCACAUCCUAACAUCACCAAAUGAACAAUGAAAAACGAAACUAACCAAAAAAGCCAGAAUCCCAAACUUAUGACUGUCUGUACUGUGUAGAGACCUUCAGUUCACUCAGUGCCAUGAGAGACCAUCACAAGACCCACCCUGAAGAAGCAGUGCAUCACUGCAACACCUGCGGGAAGUAGCAAACGAAUCCACACAGACGAACGACCCUUAAAAUGUACCGAAUAUGAGACCACCUUCAUUUGCAUAACCUCAUACAAAUGACACAUGCUGACCCAUCAACCAGAGAGACCAUUCAUUUGUAACUGUGGGAAGGGCUUCAUUUACCGUGGUGCUCUUUUGGCUCAUCAGCGCAUCCAUUUGGAAGAGAAACCAUACCAUUGCAUCGUCUGUGAGAAGGGUUUUCUGUACCCAGGGGCUUUGGGCAAACACCAGAGGACCCACUCCAAAAAGAAUCCACGUGGAAAGAACUCUAAUAUAAAGAACUCUCUUUGUUCACGCUUGGACAGCCACCACACAGAGAAAACUUUUAAUUGCACUCUGUGCGACAAGCCAUUUGUGUUCAAGGCCAGCUUGACCCGGCAUAAACCGAAAGUUGCUCAAGCACCAGUGCUACCACACAGGACAUAAACCUUUCCAAUGCCCAGACUGCAAAAAGAGUUUCACACAAGCCUUCUACUUGCAAGUCCACACGAGGCACCAUACAGGCAUACGGCCAUAUUCGUGUUCUCAGUGUAACAAGAGUUUCUUCAGUUCUUUCAGCCUUAAGAGACACCUGCGGAUUCACACGGGAGAGAAACCCUUCCAGUGCUUGGAUUGCGGGAAAAGAUUUCAACAGUCAUAUCAUCUGAGAGUGCACUUCCAGACUCACGUGGAAAAGAGAUCUGAAAGCAGGAUGUCUAAUGCUUCAUUAAUGGCAUCAUAAUCAUUUAACUUAAUAUAUUUAUAUAUUUAUUUAUUUACUUUUUGUUUUCACAUUUGUUCUCAUACACACUGGAACCUGUAAUGUGAGUCAAAUUAUGUUUUAUAUCAACAGUAAGUGAAAAUGUACCAAAGUCAGGCGAGAGGUGAAAAUGAUGUGGAUAACAAACUGUUUAAUAUGUGUUCAUUUGGUGAACAGUUUGUGUUGGUGUUAUGGCUGAGGCCAAUAAAAAAAUGCGCUGUUGAUUUAUAACAACGGUUGGAUUUUCUUGAAAAACACAUGGUAAAACGUUUUAAUUUUACGUAUUACAAUAACUAUAAACGUUUUUUAUUAUAAUCUUUAUUUAUGUAUUAUUAUAUAAGGGUUAAAUUACCUAACACCAAAGUAAAAUGCGACGUAACGACAUAGAAGUCUAGAUUAGUUAAUUUUAUCUAAAAGACGAGCCAUGACUGUGCCUCGAAGGUAAAUUGGAAAGCUUUGGAUUGUCAUAUUAUUAGUUUUCCAGUGUAAGUUUAAACAACAUCAUAUACAACAAAUCCUCUCCUCUGCACUACUUACUUGCAUCAUCCGCCAGGUGGCACCAACACAAUUAAAACGCGUUCCACGUG